AUUGAACGCUGGCGGAAUGCUUUACACAUGCAAGUCGAGCGGCAGCGCGGGGCAACCUGGCGGCGAGCGGCGAACGGGUGAGUAAUACAUCGGAACGUACCCAGUUGUGGGGGAUAGCCCGGCGAAAGCCGGAUUAAUACCGCAUACGACCUGAGGGUGAAAGGGGGGGAUCGCAAGACCUCUCGCAGUUGGAGCGGCCGAUGGCGGAUUAGCUAGUUGGUAGGGUAAAGGCCUACCAAGGCGACGAUCCGUAGCGGGUCUGAGAGGACGACCCGCCACACUGGAAAUGAGACACGGUCCAGACUCCUACGGGAGGCAGCAGUGGGGAAUUUUGGACAAUGGGGGCAACCCUGAUCCAGCCAUUUCGCGUGAGUGAAGAAGGCCUUCGGGUUGUAAAGCUCUUUCGGCAGGAACGAAACGGUGAAGGCUAAUACCUUUUACUAAUGACGGUACCUGAAGAAGAAGCACCGGCUAACUACGUGCCAGCCGCCGCAGUAA
rnacentral:rRNA from 1 species